rnacentral:rRNA from 1 species
UACGGGGGGGGCAAGCGUUGUUCGGAAUUACUGGGCGUAAAGGGCUCGUAGGCGGCCAACUAAGUCAGACGUGAAAUCCCCAGGCUCAACCUGGGAACUGCGUCUGAUACUGGAUGGCUUGAAUCCGGGAGAGGGAUGCAGAAUUCCAGGUGUAGCGGUGGAAUGCGUAGAUAUCUGGAGGAAUACCGGUGGCGAAGGCGGCAUCCUGGACCGGCAUUGACGCUGAGGAGCGAAAGCCAGGGGAGCAAACGGG